GAUGAACGCUAGCGGAAGGCUUAAUACAUGCAAGUCGAGCGGUAGUUCCCUUCGGGGGAUGAGAGCGACGCACGGGUGAGUAACGCGUACAUGACCUGCCUGUCAGAAGGGGAUAGCCCUGGGAAACUGGGAUUAAUACCCUAUGGUAUUGAUAUUAUGAAUGAUAUCAAUUAAAGUUGAGGCGCUGACAGAUGGAUGUGCGUCUGAUUAGCUAGUUGGUAGGGUAACGGCCUACCAAGGCGACGAUCAGUAGGGGGCGUGAGAGCGUGGUCCCCCACACGGGUACUGAGACACGGACCCGACUCCUACGGGAGGCAGCAGUAAGGAAUAUUGGUCAAUGCCCGCAAGGGUGAACCAGCCAUUCCGCGUGGAGGAUGAAGGCCCUAUGGGUUGUAAACUUCUUUUAGAUGGGAAGAAAAUGCUAGAUGUAUCUGGUACUGACGGUACCAUCAGAAUAAGCACCGGCUAACUCCGUGCCAGCCGCCGCAGUAAAAC
rnacentral:rRNA from 1 species